rnacentral:rRNA from 1 species
UACAGAGGGGGCGAGCGUUGUUCGGAAUUACUGGGCUUGAAGCGCACGUAGGCGGCGUCGUAAGUGUCGGGUGAAAUCCCACGGCUCACCCGUGGAACUGCCCGGCAUACUGCGACGCUAGAGUGUGGUAGGGAAGAGCGGAACUCCUGGUGGAGCGGUGAAAUGCGUAGAUAUCAGGAGGAACACCGGUGGCGAAGGCGGCUCUUUGGUCCACAACUGACGCUGAGGUGCGAAAGCCAGGGGAGCAAACGGG